UAUUCUGCCAUUUAAGUCCAUCAACCUCCAGGCUAUAAAAGAAAGAGCUAAAGACUCUUUAAGAAGAUUGGCAGAGAAGACCCGUGGGCAAAGAGAUGUCAGAGGACUGAGCUUCCUCCUCUCAGCAGGGGUCCUGUGUCCCCCCCCCCCAUCACUCACUUCAAGAGUGGGCAGGUCCAGCUUCCACAGAGAGCUUGGCCUGAGCCCCUGAAGUCUAGGGGACACACUGACAGAAGGGACCUUGGGAAGAGAGCAGGGCGUGCGGCAUCUGGAGGGAACCCCAUCCAAGAGCUUCAUCUGCCUGGGCUGGGAGACCUCAACAGAAAGGCCCUGUGCCAGGGGCACUGCCAGAAACACAGCAGAGGACGGCGCCAGACAAAGGCACAGUAGGAGGGUCCCUCAUGGGGGAGAUGCUCCAAGUAGCCCAGAUGUGCCCCACAUCACAUGGGCAUCUGCUCAGCCAGCAGGCACCAGCCCAAACCACAAACUGAGCCGACUUUAGGGACUUCCCUGGUGGUCCAGUGGUUAAGAAUCCGUCUUCCAAUGCGCGGGACGCAGGUUCGAUCCCUGGUUGGGUAACUAAGAUCCCACAUGCCACGGGCAACGAAGCUGGCGCGCUGCAACUAGAGAGAAGCCCGCGCACCGCGAGGAAGAGCCAGCAUGCUGCAACUAAGACCCUACACAGCCAAAAAUAAAGUAAAUAAAUAAAUAAAUGUUUUUUUAAAAAAGACUUUAGUUUUUACAGCAGUUUUGUUCACUGCGAAACUGAGAGGAAGGUACAGAGAUGUCCUAUGAAGUAUCCCCUGCCACCACACGUGCAUAGCUUUCCCCUUUCUUAACAUCCCUCACCAGAGUGAGGCCUUUGCUACAACUGAUAAGCCUACAUUGAUGUAACACCCAAGGUCCAUAGUGUACACUAGGGUUCACACUUGGUAUUGUAUAUUCUAUGUGUUUGGGGAAAUGUAUAAUGACAC